UACGUAGGGGGCUAGCGUUGUCCGGAAUCAUUGGGCGUAAAGCGCGUGUAGGCGGUCCGGUAAGUCCGCUGUGAAAGUCGGGGGCUCAACCCUCGAAUGCCGGUGGAUACUGUCGGGCUAGAGUGCGGAAGAGGCGAGUGGAAUUCCCGGUGUAGAGGUGAAAUUCGUAGAUAUCGGGAGGAACACCAGUGGCGAAGGCGGCGACCUGGGCCAAUAUUGACGCUGAGGUGCGAAAGCGUGGGGAGCAAACAGG
rnacentral:rRNA from 1 species